GGGGUUUCUAUGAUAUCUACGUGUAAUCAGCGACCUGAAGUUCACUGGACCAAUCCCUGGUGCUCCUUAUGGCCCUAGCUUUAUUAUCUCUUAUUUCUAGUACCUCAGGGCUUGAGUCAAGUACUCCUCUGGACAUUCCUACGUCAAUUCGCCAUAUGCUACAGUUGUAUUUACAAUUUACUCCCAUCGGUUGAGGAGUAUGUCCUACAACCAUAGCUUUGGCGCCCACACUUUGUAGUGUCUCUUCAAGAAGAUAUUGUACCUGCUCAAGCUGGUAGUUUUCCAGCUCCACGCCAUCUCUGGAGUACAAACGGUUCCACACAACACUGUCAUAGCCCCUGGUGGCUAUAAAAGGGAUCUGUGGAGAAUCGUCUUCUUCACUCGGACCUUUCAUCCAUCGAGAAACUUCUCUAUUCAGCCUUUCUAAGCCAUAGGCAACAUGAUGAGGAAGAAGGCCACCAUGACAGAAAAGCCAAUCCUCAACCUUAAGAACUACACCGUGUCGUGCCAACUCACAUGCCAAUGGACCCCCAGGUCUCAUCAGGAUUGAUCUUGCAAUUACACCCUUUUGCCGCUUCACCAAAUUCCACUGAGCCCAAUAAUUUUGAGACACCUUCCGGUCCUGUUUCCAUCUGGCAGACACAGCACACCAACUGACAAAAGCCUCUUCCCAGUUGCGUUCACAUUUAUCCAAGUAUUCCAAAAAGUCUAUACACUCGUCAAGUGCCCCGUUAUCAACAUAUCUGUAGUCUCCUUCGACAUUCAUAGUUUCAUGAUUUCCAUUGACCUGGAAAACUGCCCCACCAUGGGCUUUUGCCUGGAUAUCUAAUGACUUCAACAAAGAUAAAAUUGCAAGUUCGUCUUCACCUCUAUCAAGUAUAUCUCCGAGCUGAACCAAAACCGUCUCACCACCAAUCCACAAACUUUGACCAUCAGAACUCAGCACACCAGCCGUCUCAAGUGCACAUCUUGCCUUAUCAAGAUCUCCAUGCAAAUCUCCAACUGCUACAAUUCUGCGACCCGGAGCAGAGACGAAAGUGGGCGGAUCCC
rnacentral:misc_RNA from 1 species